UUGAUCCUGGCUCAGGAUGAACGCUAGCGACAGGCCUAACACACUGCUAGUCGAGGGGCAGCGAGAAUGUAGCAAUACAUUUGUCCGCUACCGGCGCACGGGUGAGUAACACGUAUGCAACCUGCCUACUACAGGGGGAUAGCCCGUUGAAAGACGGAUUAAUACCCCAUAAUACAGGGCUCCCGCAUGGGAAUAUUUGUUAAAGAUUAAUCGGUAGUAGAUGGGCAUGCGCUUCAUUAGCUAGUUGGCGAGGUAACGGCUCACCAAGGCAACGAUGAAUAGGGGAACUGAGAGGUUUAUCCCCCACACUGGUACUGAGACACGGAUCAGACUCCUACGGGAGGCAGCAGUGAGGAAUAUUGGUCAAUGGACGCAAGUCUGAACCAGCCAAGUCGCGUGAAGGAUGACUGCCCUACGGGUUGUAAACUUCUUUUUUACAGGAAUAAAGUGAUCUACGAGUAGAUUUUUGCAAGUACUGUACGAAUAAGCAUCGGCUAACUCCGUGCCAGCAGCCGCGGUAAUACGGAGGAUGCGAGCGUUAUCCGGAUUUAUUGGGUUUAAAGGGUGCGUAGGCGGGACUUUAAGUCAGCGGUGAAAGUUUGAGGCUCAACCUUAAAAUUGCCGUUGAAACUGGAAUCCUUGAGUAUAUUUGAAGUAGGCGGAAUUCGUGGUGUAGCGGUGAAAUGCAUAGAUAUCAUGAAGAACUCCAAUUGCGCAGGCAGCUUACUAAACUAUAACUGACGCUGAGGCACGAAAGCGUGGGUAUCAAACAAGAUUAAAUACCCUGGUAGUCCACGCUGUA
rnacentral:rRNA from 1 species